AUGGUGCCAAAGAUGAAGAAGGAAGCUUCCGUCCCUCCUAAAGCCAAGGCCAAAGCAAAGGCUUUGAAGGCCAAGAAGGCAGUGCUGAAAGGUGUCCACAGCCACAUACACACACACAUAAAGAAAAUCUGCACGACCCCCGCCCACCAAGACACUGUGACUUCAGAGGCAGCCCAAAUAUCCUCGAAAGAGCACCCCCAGGAGAAACAAGCUUGGCCACUAUGUCAUCAUCAAGUUUCUGCUGACCACUGAGUCUCCCAUGAAGAAGACAGAAGACAACAGCACACCUGUGUUCAUUGUGGAUGUUAAAGCCAACAAGCACCAGAUCAAACAGGCUGUGAAAAAGCUCUGUGACAUUGAUGUGGCCAAGGUCAACACCCUGGUUAGGACUGAUAGAGAGAAGAAGGCACAUAUUCUUCUGGGUCCUGAUUAUGAUGCUUUGGAUGUUGCCAACAAAAUUGGGAUCAUCUAA
rnacentral:lncRNA from 1 species